CGGGACGGGUGAGUAACGCGUGGGUAACCUGCCUCACACAGGGGGAUAACAGUCGGAAACGGCUGCUAAUACCGCAUAAGCGCACAGUACCGCAUGGUACAGUGUGAAAAACUCCGGUGGUGUGAGAUGGACCCGCGUCUGAUUAGCUAGUUGGCAGGGCAACGGCCUACCAAGGCGACGAUCAGUAGCCGACCUGAGAGGGUGACCGGCCACAUUGGGACUGAGACACGGCCCAA
rnacentral:rRNA from 1 species